rnacentral:rRNA from 1 species
AGAGUUUGAUCAUGGCUCAGGAUGAACGCUGGCGGCGUGCUUAACACAUGCAAGUCAAGGGGGCCCAGCAAUGGGCAACCGGCGAACGGGUGCGUAACACGUGAGCAAUCUACCGAAUUGUGGGGGAUAGCCGGCCCAACGGCCGGGUAAUACCGCAUACGAUCGAGACGAGGCAUUUCGACUCGAUGAAAUCUACGGAGCAAUUCGAGGAGCUCGCGGCCUAUCAGCUAGGUGGCGAGGUAACGGCUCACCAAGGCUACGACGGGUAGCUGGUCUGAGAGGAUGGCCAGCCACAUUGGGACUGAGAUACGGCCCAGACUCCUACGGGAGGCAGCAGUGGGGAAUCUUGCGCAAUGGCCUAACGGCUGACGCAGCGACGCCGCGUGAGGGAUGACGCUCUUCGGAGUGUAAACCUCUUUUGCCCGGGACGAAUUGCCAACAUCAGUUGGCUUGACGGUACCGGGUGAAUAAGCACCGGCUAACUCCGUGCCAGCAGCCGCGGUAAUUC